GAACGGUAACAGGCCCGCAAGGGUGCUGACGAGUGGCGGACGGGUGAGGAAUACAUCGGAAUUUACCCAGUCGUGGGGGAUAACGUAGGGAAACUUACGCUAAUACCGCAUACGACCGAGAGGUGAAAGCGUGGGACCGCAAGGCCUCGCGCGAUUGGAUGAGCCGAUGUCGGAUUAGCUAGUUGGCGGGGUAAAGGCCCACCAAGGCGACGAUCCGUAGCUGGUCUGAGAGGAUGAUCAGCCACACUGGGACUGAGACACGGCCCAGACUCCUACGGGAGGCAGCAGUGGGGAAUAUUGGACAAUGGGGGCAACCCUGAUCCAGCAAUGCCGCGUGUGUGAAGAAGGCCUUCGGGUUGUAAAGCACUUUUAUCCGGAACGAAACGUGUUGGGUGAAUAGCCCAGCAAACUGACGGUACCGGAGGAAUAAGCACCGGCUAACUUCGUG
rnacentral:rRNA from 1 species